UUCACUUAACAUUAUGAUCUCAUGGGGCCUCCAUUUAGAUUUUUAAAAAUGCUGCUUGUGACGUCUUGCCUCAGAGCUAUUUAUGACACCUUAGAACCCAUGGUAUUUGAAGCUACUUAAGACACAGUCAUGUACACUUGGUAUCAUUUUUUUCUCUGCAAAAUCAGCUUCCAUGGCUGUGCGAGGAGUUGACUCAGUGAUGGCUUUGUUAGCACAGGAAGAAACCUGGGUCAGCUCUUGCGCUGCUCCCUGGCGCAUCAGCACCUAGACUUCGGACUUCCCAGCCGAGAACACUAAGGAUCAUGUCAUGGUGGUCAUUGUGCGGAGCGUUAUUUCAGAGAGGAGAAAGUGGUGGUGACAGUCGUAGGUCCCGGUGCCCAGUCUGGCUUUAAAUCUUGGUUUGCUCUCUCAGUACCUGGUUGAUCUUAGGUUGCUGAGUUACCCUCUGCCUCCCUUUUACCAUCUGAGGGAAGUAGGGACCAAGUAGACUGUUGACCUCAGUGGUGGUUGUUGGUUGCCAAUAAGCUCGCAGUACAUGGUCAGCACUUAUAAGGGAGUGCGGCAUGUGGUGAGCUAACCAUCAAUUUUGCUGUUAUUUUGUUAUAAAGAAUAUUUAAUUGUAGAGUGACAUUUAUUUAUCUUGGUGUGCUUAGGAUUGAACUGAGGGCCUUUGUACUAGGCUAUAACCCAGCCCACUUUUUAGUUCUUAUUUUUGAAACAGGGUCUCACGAAGUUACUCUGUUUCCCAGGCUGGGCUUGAGAUUGCCAUCCGCCUGCCUCAGCCUCCCAGGGUGCUAAGAUUAUAAGUGGGUACCACAUUUCUAGCUCUUGAGUCCCUAUAAAAUCACAGUCAGUGUUGAUCCAUAGUUACUGAUACAAAUUUUGGGUGAAAUGCCUUAAAUAAAACAACUAUCACAUUCAUCUUUAUAGUUAAAACUUCUGAGCUCUCAUAUUGAUCAUGGAAAACAAGAAUCAAAAACGCACCAACUUUCGGACACUUUCGUUAUUUAAAGUAGCCAAAACCAUGGAAGCCUUUUUGUUUCAGUUUGAGAAAUUUUCUUUUCUACUUGCUUUUCAAACCCACUCUUAGCAGUUAAAAUGCAUUUAUAGCAAGAACUUUAGAUUUCACAACUCCACUGGCCUUGUUCCCAGGCAUUUUUCCUGUAACCAAUGACGGCUUGCUUUUGUUUGUUGUGUUUGCUUUUACUCCCUUGGUUUCUUACAUUAAAAGUUAUGAAACACGUGUCAUCCAGGCUGGAGACACCAGACAUGCCCAGAUAGGAACCGGGCAGCAUUCACCAAGCUUAAGGCUCGAGCUGGGGCAGCACAGGGUGCGGCAGACCUUUCCGGGCACCCUGGACACAGCCCACCACUGCCAGAUCCUCCCUCUCACUGCCCUCCUGGCCGGGCCUCCAUCUGUGGAUGGAAACGUUGCUGCCUCGAAGACAUGACUCUCCGGACACAGUGCACCGUGCUAAUUAACAGUGAGACAAGCACGGAGAGAAGCUUGCAUAGAAGACCAGUCUCGGCAAGGACUUUUUUAGCCACCUUUAGAAAUGAAGGCGCCAUUUCUUCCUGAAUAUACAGCAGUGGCCUCAGAGGACCUCCUUGGGGUGGAGUGGUGGCCAAGGGGCUGAAGGGCUUCAUCUGUCCCUGCAGUCUCAUCUAGCACGGUGCUGUGGUUUGCUGUGUUUACCACGCACCCCACAUUUUGGAGACUGAAUGAAUGUCCAGAUUUGGACACUGAGGGUGUUUUGGGAUUGGUGGAGGAGGUGAGGGUGGCCGAGAUGACCUAUGGCUUUGUUAACAGAGGAAGAAACCUGGUCAGCUCUUGCGCUGCUCCCUGGCGCAUCAGCACCUAGACUUUGGACUUCCCAGCCGAGAACACUAAGGAACACUUCAAACUACCCAUUCUCAGGACUGGGCAGGGCACAGUCAUGCAUGAAAAAGCUCCCCACGUUUCCAGAAAGAGUAGAUCCCAGGAACUGUGGAGGAGGCGGGCAGGAUUCACAUGUUCUGUGGGACCUGCGUUCAACCGGAAUAAAGUUCCACUGGGUCAUGGGUGCUUGCUUUGACUUUUGAUGAAGACAGAAGUCUGCACAUAGUUGGCUGUUUCAGGAUCCAUGAAAUCAUAUCUGCUACUCUGUAUGAAGGAAGACUACCUGGGCUCAGACCUGAUGCUCAUGACUUCAGUUCAUUAGGAGAAGAGUUCCUAGUCAUAUGUAAGCAGUUCUAGUAUACUUAUCCUUAGAGUGUAAUUAUGUAAAGCCAGACAUAAUUCUCCAUACAAAUGCUCAUAACUUUCUGUUUGGCUCAGUGUGCAUCCAAUAAAUUCAAUUACAUGAGAACAUGUGUAUAAUUUACUUAUAAUUAGUUGAAAUUAUCAUGCUUUAUAAAAAUGUAAUUUUUUUUAAAGUUUGGGACUGCUCAAAUAAUUAAACCUGACUGAGUUCUAAUAGUUAAACCUGGUUGAGUUCUAAUAGUUAUGAAGAAAGUGUAUAGGUCUUAUAUCAAUGUGAUUGUCACUGGAUUAAACAAUUAUGUACAAUAAAGGCAUUAAGAUUUAAA